GAUGAACGCUGGCGGCGUGCCUAAUACAUGCAAGUCGAACGCAGUGGGGACGGGUGAGUAACACGUGGGUAAUCUCCCAUAAGAGGGGAUAACACUUGGCAACAGGUGCUAAACCCAUACUGAUGGAUGGACCCGCGGUGCAUUAGCUAGGUGGUGGGGUAACGGCUCACCAAGGCCACGAUGCAUAGCCGGCCUGAGAGGAUGAUCGGCCACACUGGGACUGAGACACGGCCCAGACGCCUACGGGAGGCAGCAGUAGGGAAUCUUGGGCAAUGGACGAAAGUCUGACCGAGCAACGCCGCGUGAGUGAAGAAGGUUUUCGGGUCGUAAAACUCUGUUGUUAGAGAAGCGGUAUCUAACCAGAAAGCCACGGCUAACUACGUGCCAGCAGCCGCGGUAAUUC
rnacentral:rRNA from 1 species